CCUACGGGAGGCUGCAGUGAGGAAUAUUGGUCAAUGGGCGCGAGCCUGAACCAGCCAAGUAGCGUGAAGGAUGACUGCCCUACGGGUUGUAAACUUCUUUUAUCAAGGAAUAAAGUGAGGCACGUUUGCCUGUUUGUAUGGACUAUAUGAAUAAGGAUCGGCUAACUCCGUGACAGCAGCCGGGGGAAUGCGGAGGGUCCGAGCGUUAUCCGGAUUUAUUGGGUUUAAAGGGAGCGUAGAUGGGUUGUUAAGUCAGGUGUGAAAGUUUGCGGCUCAACCGUAAAAUUGCACUUGAUACUGGCAGUCUUGAGUACAGUAGAGGUAGGCGGAAUUCGUGGUGUAGCGGUGAAAUGCUUAGAUAUCACGAAGAACUCCGAUGGCGAAGGCAGCUUACUAGACUGCCACUGACAUUGAUGCUCGAAAGUGUGGGUAUCAAACAGGAUUAGAUACCCGGGUAGUC
rnacentral:rRNA from 1 species